UAGGGAAUCUUCCGCAAUGGGCGAAAGCCUGACGGAGCAACGCCGCGUGAGUGAUGAAGGUCUUCGGAUCGUAAAACUCUGUUAUUAGGGAAGAACAAAUGUGUAAGUAACUAUGCACGUCUUGACGGUACCUAAUCAGAAAGCCACGCCUAACUACGUGCCAGCAGCCGCGGUAAUACGUAGGUGGCAAGCGUUAUCCGGAAUUAUUGGGCGUAAAGCGCGCGUAGGCGGUUUUUUAAGUCUGAUGUGAAAGCCCACGGCUCAACCGGGGAAGGUCAUUGGAAACUGGAAAACUUGAGUGCAGAAGAGGAAAGUGGAAUUCCAUGUGUAGCGGUGAAAUGCGCAGAGAUAAGGAGGAACACCAGUGGCGAAGGCGACUUUCUGGUCUGUAACUGACGCUGAUGUGCGAAAGCGUGGGGAUCAAACAGG
rnacentral:rRNA from 1 species